rnacentral:rRNA from 1 species
AUUGAACGCUGGCGGCAUGCUUUACACAUGCAAGUCGAACGGCAGCGCGGGCUUCGGCCUGGCGGCGAGUGGCGAACGGGUGAGUAAUACAUCGGAACGUGCCCAGUAGUGGGGGAUAGCUCGGCGAAAGCCGGAUUAAUACCGCAUACGACCUGAGGGUGAAAGCGGGGGAUCUUCGGACCUCGCGCUAUUGGAGCGGCCGAUGACAGAUUAGCUAGUUGGUGGGGUAAAGGCCUACCAAGGCGACGAUCUGUAGCUGGUCUGAGAGGACGACCAGCCACACUGGGGCUGAGACACGGCCCAGACUCCUACGGGAGGCAGCAGUGGGGAAUUUUGGACAAUGGGCGAAAGCCUGAUCCAGCAAUGCCGCGUGUGUGAUGAAGGCCUUCGGGUUGUAAAGCACUUUUGGCGGGAACGAAAAGGACUGUGCCAAUACCACGGUUCGAUGACGGUACCCGCAGAAUAAGCACCGGCUAACUACGUG